UUCCGGUUGAUCCUGCCGGACCCUACUGCUAUCGGGGUGGGACUAAGACAUGCGAGUUGUGCGUCUCUAAGCUAUGGUAGAGACGCGGCGUACGGCUCAGUAACACGUGGCUAACCUACCCUUAGGACGGGGACAACCCCGGGAAACUGGGGCUAAUACCCGAUAGGUGAGGAGGCCUAGAAUGGUUCCUAGUCGAAAUGGCGUUGAAACCAUGCUUUUCGACGUCGCCUAAGGAUGGGGCCGCGCCUGAUCAGGUUGUUGGUGGGGCAACGGCUCACCAAGCCUAUAACCAGUACGGGCCGUGAGAGCGGGAGCCCGGAGAUGGGCACUGAGACAAGGGCCCAGGCCCUACGGGGCGCAGCAGUCGCGAAAACUCCGCAAUGCGCGAAAGCGUGACGGGGCUACCCCGAGUGCCGUCCGCUGAGGAUGGCUUUUCCCCGGUGUAAUGAGCCGGGGGAAUAAGGAGAGGGCAAGUCUGGUGUCAGCCGCCGCGGUAAUACCAGCUCUCCGAGUGGUAGGGAUGAUUAUUGGGCUUAAAGCGUCCGUAGCCGGCUUAGCAAGUCUCCUGUCAAAUUCAGCGACCUAAUCGUUGAGCCGCGGGAGAUACUACUAGGCUAGGAGGCGGGAGAGGCCGACGGUAUUCUCGGGGUAGGGGUGAAAUCCUAUAAUCCCGGGAGGACCACCAGUGGCGAAGGCUGUCGGCUAGAACGCGCUCGACGGUGAGGGACGAAAGCUGGGGGAGCGAACCGGAUUAGAUACCCGGGUAGUCCCAGCUGUAAACGAUGCGGGCUAGGUGUUGGGGUGGCUACGAGCCACUUCAGUGCCGCAGGGAAGCCGUUAAGCCCGCCGCCUGGGGAGUACGGCCGCAAGGCUGAAACUUAAAGGAAUUGGCGGGGGAGCACCACAAGGCGUGAAGCUUGCGGUUCAAUUGGAUUCAACGCCGGAA
rnacentral:rRNA from 1 species